AGGAUGAACGCUGGCGGCGUGCUUAACACAUGCAAGUCGAACGAUGAAGCAGAGCUUGCUCUGUGGAUUAGUGGCGAACGGGUGAGUAACACGUGAGUAACCUGCCCUUGACUCUGGAAUAAGCGUUGGAAACGACGUCUAAUACCGGAUACGAGCUUCCGCCGCAUGGUGAGGAGCUGGAAAGAAUUUUCGGCAAGGGAUGGACUCGGCGGCCUAGUCGGGUAGUUGGUGAGGUAAGGGCUCACCAAGCCUACGACGGGUAGCCGGCCUGAGAGGGUGACCGGCCACACGUGGAACUGGGACACGGUCCAGACUCCGUACGGGAGGCAGCAGGUGGGAAUAUUAGCACGAAUGGGACGCAAGCCUGAUGCAGCAACGCCGCGGUGAGGGACGACGG
rnacentral:rRNA from 1 species